CGGCAGCUUACCAUGCAGUCGAACGGUAGCAGGAGGAAGCUUGCUUUCUUGCUGACGAGUGGCGGACGGGUGAGUAAUGCUUGGGAAUCUGGCUUAUGGAGGGGGAUAACUACUGGAAACGGUAGCUAAUACCGCGUAAUAUCGAGAGAUUAAAGGGUGGGACUUUCGGGCCACCUGCCAUAAGAUGAGCCCAAGUGGGAUUAGGUAGUUGGUGGGGUAAAGGCCUACCAAGCCUGCGAUCUCUAGCUGGUCUGAGAGGAUGGCCAGCCACACUGGAACUGAGACACGGUCCAGACUCCUACGGGAGGCAGCAGUGGGGAAUAUUGCACAAUGGGGGGAACCCUGAUGCAGCCAUGCCGCGUGAAUGAAGAAGGCCUUCGGGUUGUAAAGUUCUUUCGGUGAUGAGGAAGGUGUUUUGUUUAAUAGACAAAGCAAUUGACGUUAGUCACAGAAGAAGCACCGGCUAACUCCGUGCCAGCAGCCGCGGUAAUACGGAGGGUGCGAGCGUUAAUCGGAAUAACUGGGCGUAAAGGGCACGCAGGCGGAUUGUUAAGUGAGAUGUGAAAGCCCCGGGCUUAACCUGGGAAUUGCAUUUCAGACUGGCAAUCUAGAGUAUUUUAGGGAGGGGUAGAAUUCCACGUGUAGCGGUGAAAUGCGUAGAGAUGUGGAGGAAUACCGAAGGCGAAGGCAGCCCCUUGGGAA
rnacentral:rRNA from 1 species